AACGAACGCUGGCGGCAUGCCUAACACAUGCAAGUCGAACGAGACCUUCGGGUCUAGUGGCGCACGGGUGCGUAACGCGUGGGAAUCUGCCCUUGGGUUCGGAAUAACAGUUAGAAAUGACUGCUAAUACCGGAUGAUGACUUCGGUCCAAAGAUUUAUCGCCCAAGGAUGAGCCCGCGUAGGAUUAGCUUGUUGGUGAGGUAAAAGCUCCCCAAGGCGGCGAUCCUUAGCUGGUCUGAGAGGAUGAUCAGCCACACUGGGACUGAGACACGGCCCAGACUCCUACGGGAGGCAGCAGUGGGGAAUAUUGGACAAUGGGCGAAAGCCUGAUCCAGCAAUGCCGCGUGAGUGAUGAAGGCCUUAGGGUUGUAAAGCUCUUUUACCCGGGAUGAUAAUGACAGUACCGGGAGAAUAAGCCCCGGCUAACUCCGUGCCAGCCGCCGCAGUAAUAC
rnacentral:rRNA from 1 species